rnacentral:rRNA from 1 species
UACGUAGGGAGCAAGCGUUGUUCGGAAUUACUGGGCGUAAAGCGCGCGUAGGCGGACCUGCAAGUCGGGGGUGAAAGCCCGAGGCUCAACCUCGGAACUGCCUUCGAUACUGCGGGUCUCGAGUCCGGGAGAGGUGAGUGGAAUUCCUAGUGUAGAGGUGAAAUUCGUAGAUAUUAGGAAGAACACCAGUGGCGAAGGCGGCUCACUGGCCCGGUACUGACGCUGAGGCGCGAAAGCGUGGGGAGCAAACAGG